rnacentral:rRNA from 1 species
GUGGGGAAUAUUGCACAAUGGGCGCAAGCCUGAUGCAGCCAUGCCGCGUGUGUGAAGAAGGCCUUCGGGUUGUAAAGCACUUUCAGCGGGGAGGAAGGCGAUAAGGUUAAUAACCUUGUCGAUUGACGUUACCCGCAGAAGAAGCACCGGCUAACUCCGUGCCAGCAGCCGCGGUAAUAUGGAGGGUGCAAGCGUUAAUCGGAAUUACUGGGCGUAAAGCGCACGCAGGCGGUCUGUCAAGUCGGAUGUGAAAUCCCCGGGCUCAACCUGGGAACUGCAUUCGAAACUGGCAGGGGAGAGUCUUGUAGAGGGGGGUAGAAUUCCAUGUGUAGCGGUGAAAUGCGUAGAGAUCUGGAGGAAUACCGGUGGCGAAGGCGGCCCCCUGGACAAAGACUGACGCUCAGGUGCGAAAGCGUGGGGAGCAAACAGGAUUAGAUACCCUAGUAGUCC